CCUACGGGGGGCAGCAGUGAGGAAUAUUGGUCAAUGGCCGUAAGGCUGAACCAGCCACGUCGCGUGAGGGAAGACUGCCCUAUGGUUUGUAAACCUCUUUUAUACGGGGAUAAAGGUGUCCACGUGUGUAUGUUUGCAGGUCCCACAUGAAUCCGGACCGGCUAAUUCCGUGCCAGCAGCCGCGGUAAUACGGAAGGUGCGGGCGUUAUCCGGAUUUAUUGGGUUUAACGGGAGCGUAGGCCGGUCUUUAAGCGUGCCGUGAAAUUUUGUGGCUCAACCACGAGAGUGCGGCGCGAACGGGAGGUCUUGAGUGCGGGGAAGGCAGGCGGAAUUCGUAGUGUAGCGGUGAAAUGCGUAGAUAUUAGGAAGAACACCAGUGGCGAAGGCAGCCUGCCGCAGUGUUACUGACGCUGAAGCUCGAAAGCGUGGGUAGCGAACAGGAUUAGAUACCCCUGUAGUC
rnacentral:rRNA from 1 species